UGUGAGCUCGAUGAGUAGGGCGGGACACGUGGUAUCCUGUCUGAAUAUGGGGGGACCAUCCUCCAAGGCUAAAUACUCCUGACUGACCGAUAGUGAACCAGUACCGUGAGGGAAAGGCGAAAAGAACCCCGGCGAGGGGAGUGAAAAAGAACCUGAAACCGUGUACGUACAAGCAGUGGGAGCCUCUUUUAUGGGGUGACUGCGUACCUUUUGUAUAAUGGGUCAGCGACUUAUAUUCUGUAGCAAGGUUAACCGAAUAGGGGAGCCGAAGGGAAACCGAGUCUUAACUGGGCGUUAAGUUGCAGGGUAUAGACCCGAAACCCGGUGAUCUAGCCAUGGGCAGGUUGAAGGUUGGGUAACACUAACUGGAGGACCGAACCGACUAAUGUUGAAAAAUUAGCGGAUGACUUGUGGCUGGGGGUGAAAGGCCAAUCAAACCGGGAGAUAGCUGGUUCUCCCCGAAAGCUAUUUAGGUAGCGCCUCGUGAAUUCAUCUCCGGGGGUAGAGCACUGUUUCGGCAAGGGGGUCAUCCCGACUUACCAACCCGAUGCAAACUGCGAAUACCGGAGAAUGUUAUCACGGGAGACACACGGCGGGUGCUAACGUCCGUCGUGAAGAGGGAAACAACCCAGACCGCCAGCUAAGGUCCCAAAGUCAUGGUUAAGUGGGAAACGAUGUGGGAAGGCCCAGACAGCCAGGAUGUUGGCUUAGAAGCAGCCAUCAUUUAAAGAAAGCGUAAUAGCUCACUGGUCGAGUCGGCCUGCGCGGAAGAUGUAACGGGGCUAAACCAUGCACCGAAGCUGCGGCAGCGACACUAUGUGUUGUUGGGUAGGGGAGCGUUCUGUAAGCCUGUGAAGGUGUGCUGUGAGGCAUGCUGGAGGUAUCAGAAGUGCGAAUGCUGACAUAAGUAACGAUAAAGCGGGUGAAAAGCCCGCUCGCCGGAAGACCAAGGGUUCCUGUCCAACGUUAAUCGGGGCAGGGUGAGUCGACCCCUAAGGCGAGGCCGAAAGGCGUAGUCGAUGGGAAACAGGUUAAUAUUCCUGUACUUGGUGUUACUGCGAAGGGGGGACGGAGAAGGCUAUGUUGGCCGGGCGACGGUUGUCCCGGUUUAAGCGUGUAGGCUGGUUUUCCAGGCAAAUCCGGAAAAUCAAGGCUGAGGCGUGAUGACGAGGCACUACGGUGCUGAAGCAACAAAUGCCCUGCUUCCAGGAAAAGCCUCUAAGCAUCAGGUAACAUCAAAUCGUACCCCAAACCGACACAGGUGGUCAGGUAGAGAAUACCAAGGCGCUUGAGAGAACUCGGGUGAAGGAACUAGGCAAAAUGGUGCCGUAACUUCGGGAGAAGGCACGCUGAUAUGUAGGUGAAGUCCCUCGCGGAUGGAGCUGAAAUCAGUCGAAGAUACCAGCUGGCUGCAACUGUUUAUUAAAAACACAGCACUGUGCAAACACGAAAGUGGACGUAUACGGUGUGACGCCUGCCCGGUGCCGGAAGGUUAAUUGAUGGGGUCAGCGCAAGCGAAGCUCUUGAUCGAAGCCCCGGUAAACGGCGGCCGUAACUAUAACGGUCCUAAGGUAGCGAAAUUCCUUGUCGGGUAAGUUCCGACCUGCACGAAUGGCGUAAUGAUGGCCAGGCUGUCUCCACCCGAGACUCAGUGAAAUUGAACUCGCUGUGAAGAUGCAGUGUACCCGCGGCAAGACGGAAAGACCCCGUGAACCUUUACUAUAGCUUGACACUGAACAUUGAGCCUUGAUGUGUAGGAUAGGUGGGAGGCUUAGAAGUGUGGACGCCAGUCUGCAUGGAGCCGACCUUGAAAUACCACCCUUUAAUGUUUGAUGUUCUAACGUGGACCCGUGAUCCGGGUUGCGGACAGUGUCUGGUGGGUAGUUUGACUGGGGCGGUCUCCUCCUAAAGAGUAACGGAGGAGCACGAAGGUUGGCUAAUCCUGGUCGGACAUCAGGAGGUUAGUGCAAUGGCAUAAGCCAGCUUGACUGCGAGCGUGACGGCGCGAGCAGGUGCGAAAGCAGGUCAUAGUGAUCCGGUGGUUCUGAAUGGAAGGGCCAUCGCUCAACGGAUAAAAGGUACUCCGGGGAUAACAGGCUGAUACCGCCCAAGAGUUCAUAUCGACGGCGGUGUUUGGCACCUCGAUGUCGGCUCAUCACAUCCUGGGGCUGAAGUAGGUCCCAAGGGUAUGGCUGUUCGCCAUUUAAAGUGGUACGCGAGCUGGGUUUAGAACGUCGUGAGACAGUUCGGUCCCUAUCUGCCGUGGGCGCUGGAGAACUGAGGGGGGCUGCUCCUAGUACGAGAGGACCGGAGUGGACGCAUCACUGGUGUUCGGGUUGUCAUGCCAAUGGCACUGCCCGGUAGCUAAAUGCGGAAGAGAUAAGUGCUGAAAGCAUCUAAGCACGAAACUUGCCCCGAGAUGAGUUCUCCCUGACUCCUUGAGAGUCCUGAAGGAACGUUGAAGACGACGACGUUGAUAGGCCGGGUGUGUAAGCGCAGCGAUGCGUUGAGCUAACCGGUACUAAUGAACCGUGAGGCUUAACCUUACAACGCCGAAGCUGUU
rnacentral:rRNA from 1 species